CCCGACUGCUAUCGGAUGGGGAUUAGGCAUGUUUUUUGUGCGUCCCUUGGCUACAGGGGACGCACCGUACGGCUCAGUAACGGGUAGUCGACCUGCCCUGCUAGACUCGGACAAACCCGGGAAACUGGGGCCUAUCCGCUAUAGAUGGCCUCCUCUGGAAGGAGAGGCCGCUGAAAAGGGCGCACGGGUAUGCUCUAUGCGCUCCGGUUUCAGAUGGCGACUGCUGCCGAUCUGGCAGUUGGCGGGGUAAUGGCCCACCUUACCUGUUAGCGGGUUUCGGGCUUCUGACAGAUGGGGGCCGCGAGAUGACCACUCAAGAUAGGGGUUCACGCCCCUACGGGGCGACAUUAUGGGACGAAAAGCUUUCCUUCGGUGCGCCGAAAGCGGUUACCAGGCCUAUUUCCGCGUGUCCCCCUGCUUACCGGGCAGCAUCUCCCUGGGCGUAGCUAG
rnacentral:rRNA from 1 species